CAGCUUAUUGAUCGACAUCUAUAUGCUACCACUGAUAGGAUCGAGGCGUGACCUUCGACUAGAGUCGAUGGAUCGUAGUCGACUGCAGCCGCGGUAAUACGUAGGUGGCAAGCGUUGUCCGGAAUUAUUGGGCGUAAAGGGCUCGCCAGGCGGUUUCUUAAGUCUGAUGUGAAAGCCCCCGGCUCAACCGGGGAGGGUCAUUGGAAACCGGGAAACUUGAGUGCAGAAGAGGAGAGUGGAAUUCCACGUGUAGCGGUGAAAUGCGUAGAGAUGUGGAGGAACACCAGUGGCGAAGGCGACUCUCUGGUCUGUAACUGACGCUGAGGAGCGAAAGCGUGGGGAGCGAACAGGAUUAGAUACCCUGGUAGUCCACGCCGUAAACGAUGAGUGCUAAGUGUUAGGGGGUUUUCGCCCCUUAGUGCUGCAGCUAACGCAUUAAGCUCCGCCUAGGGAGUACGGUCGCAAGACUGAAACUCAAAGGAAUUGACGGGGGCCCGCACAAGCGGUGGAGCAUGUGGGUUAAUUCGAAGCAACGCGAAAACCUUACCAGGUCUUGACAUCUCUGACAACCCUAGAGAUAGGGCUUUCCCUUCGGGGACAGAGUGACAGGUGGUGNUGGUUGUC
rnacentral:rRNA from 1 species